UACAGAGGUCCCAAGCGUUGUUCGGAUUCACUGGGCGUAAAGGGUGCGCAGGUGGGUUUGCAAGUUCGAUGUGAAAGCCCCGGGCUUAACCCGGGAAUGGCAUUGGAUACUGCAGAUCUGGAGGAUCGGAGGGGGACUGGAAUUCUUGGUGUAGCAGUGAAAUGCGUAGAUAUCAAGAGGAACACCAGUGGCGAAGGCGACCAUCUGGACGGAUACUGACGCUGAGACGCGAAAGCGUGGGUAGCAAACAGG
rnacentral:rRNA from 1 species